UCUCUUCCUCCCGAUCUCUCCAGAAGCUCGACGUUUUUUUGUCUCCCGCGGUCUUUCCCAGGCGGCGACGGGCGUGGCCACGGUGUGGCACCGGUGGCCCCCUCCCCCUCUGCCCCCGUCCCCGUCCUCGCCCUGGCCCCUGCCCGCGCCUCCCCUUCCUCUCCCUCUCUGCAUCUCUGUCGACGUGGUGGCACACCGGCCUGGCACGGUCGCGGCCAUGCUGCUGCUACACCUCUCCGCCCCUUCCCAUCGCUGUCGCACGGGGGAACACUGGAGCCGCGGGAGAACCAGAGACGCACAAAUCAGGCGGAGGUCCCAUAGCUGUCCACCUUGCCUCCCCACAGGAUGUUCCAGCCUACGAAGUGCGAGAUAACUUUUGGCCCUUUCAUGCCCUAGGGUUUUGCUGGGGUGGAUAUGAACUCAGCUUAAUUGGUUUGGUUCUAAACCUCUCUCGCCUUUCACAUUCAUAUGUGUAGUUUCGUAGCUUACUUUUCCCUGAGGAAUAGAUUAAAUGUGCAAAUAAUGCAUUUAGGUGUUUCCUGAUCUAAUGAACAGGUACAAUAUAUCAUUGGUUUCCUGCAGUCUUAGAGAGGUUCAGUUUAAUGAUUUACUAAAAAAAGAAUUUAGGUGUUUUUAGAAAGUGACAAAAGGCUGAUAAUUUAUCUUACGCAUCAAAGGUAGUAUAUUGAUUCUACGUUAGAAAACAUUAGUGCCAUAUACAACAGUUCACUUAUAUAUAUUUACAUGUGCUAUUUUUAAAUAUUUGGUGAUGAUGCGUGGGUACCAUUGCACUUAUCAAUUCAUCUCUACUAACGUCCUCAUUUUUAAAGUCGAAUCACUUAUAUGAUACACUUUGUGUUGCCUGAGCCUAGAGGUUAAGAAGCCAAUUGCAGAACUACAGUGUAGUAGGCAGGUACCUAUCGCCUAAGCCGGCUGUAAGUGCACGCCUCGGUACUCAAGCAAGGCAGUUUACUGCCCAGCAGAACUGUUGUAAUACCAAGAUAUUUUUGUUUCCUUCCACUCCAUGUUUAUUUGCCAACAUCAUUGGGGAUUCUAGAACUGUAGUUGCUUCACUUCUGAUAUUAAUUAUUUUCUGUUUUAGCUAACUUAAACCUUUUUCUUUACAUAUAGCUCAGAUUCAGUUUAUACUUAUUUAUUUACUGAGAUUAUUCAGAAAAAUUAAGUACACCACACUUAUUUGUAAGUAUUUCCCAAUUUAAUUAUGCUUCUUUUGUUAUCAACAUCCAUCUUCCUACCAUCCUUUCAAUCUCUGCAACUUUUUAAUCUCUCUGCUACAUGGUACAUAUGCAUUCUCUGAACAAAUAAAUAAUCUACGAGCAUAAUUGAAUGAGUUGGUAUGUCAUUGUACUCAGUGCAGGCCUUAGACAAAAAAUAUUUGGUAGCACAGUUUAGCAAAAAAAAAGAAAUAUUUAUGUGCCUACAAGAUUUGAUAUUUUGUGCCUAGCUUAGAAGAUCUGUAACCAUUGUACUAUCUUCUACCUCCAAAGAAACAUCAUCGUAGAUUUCCUCACCAAAAGUAUAAAAAUAUUGAGCAAAUGCUGUUAUAAUUCUAAAAAAAUACAUCUGAUUAGUAAACUUCAUACCUAUUGUACUGGGUUAUCUUCUUGUGCUAUUUUUUUUCUCAUACAUACAUCUAUGCAUUUAGCUAAACACUACUAAAGAGACAUAAUGACGCUAUGAACUGUGUAUCAUUGUCAAAUGACAGCAAUUGUCUUUUACUCAGCAGACCCCCAAAUAAUAUAUUUUACUCAGCACAGAUUCAUAGCUGGGUAGCUGCAAUGGGCUCCACUAAUUCGGUUUCCUACAGAUCUAUCCUCUUUGUUUUUUUUUCUUAUAUGUUUUGGUCAUGUCUUUCUGGUCCAUUAAAUAAUAUAAUAAUAUAUUUAGGCUCAAGAUACAUUGCCCCUUCUGAUCAGCACAACUUGAAGGUUACUAUAUAUUGUGCUCUUCCUGCUACAUUCUCCUUUAUUUUUAAUUAAAUUUGCUUGAUCCAUUGUUGCUAUUUGUUCUAAAUGCAGGAUAUAGUACUGGAAUCGGAAUUUCCAAGCAUAAAAAACAAUUUACUAUGCUCCACGUGAAGUAUCUCUUUUUCAAGUCUUAUUAAGACCCUUGUCGUAGGUUCCAUUUUAGUUUUUCUUAGCCAUUGUCCAUGUUUUCCUGCACCCAUGUUCCUUGUUUGCAUCAAAGCUUACUCUAGCAGUACAUGCUCCUGUCUUUGUCAAGGCUGUCAUGAUUUGAUUUAGCAUCACACAUGUAUUGUUUCCCUAUUGUUCCUAAUUAUUCACAUUUCACAGUGCCCUAUCUGUGUACCCUAUAUUCUUUAUUUCUGGGAUUAGGGGAUUCAUUUGUACUCUUCAUGCUGGGAUUGGAGCAACCUAGUGACUUUGGUUACCAAGUUUAGGCCUACUUACAUGGUUCUGUUGUGUGGGUUCAGGAUAGGUUCGGCAACAUUAGCCAUGGUUAUAUUCUCUCCUAUUUGGUUUCCUUGCCCUCUUGUCCCAACACAGUGCAGAGAGGCCAAUUCUAGCAGGUAGAAGAUUACCUUGUUGAUGCCAAUGACGAUUAAGCUGACCAUCGACCAAUGCGACCCACUUAUUAAGGUAGCGUCGCUGCUUAUACUCAAUCAAGCUGGUUUUGCUGCUUUGCUUUACUCUAAGUUCAUGCCUUUGCUUUACUGUAGGUUGACAUCUUGUAACACCCAAAAUUUUGAUUUCAAUUAUUAGGAAUUAUUUUGAUUUAUUUAAGUAUUUUUGUGGACAUUGAAGCUAGCAAAUAAAUAAUUUUGUGUAAAUUAAAAUUUAUCAUAAAUUUAGAAACGUGAAUUUUGCAUUCAUGUUGGAGCAUAAUUAUUUUGUAUUGUAUGUUCUGUUUUUAUUUUGAUUAUUUUGCUUCAAAGCUUCUUUGGAAAAAGGAAUUGAGAAAAGAAAACAGAAAAGAAUUUGAAAAAAAAAGAAUCGAGGAGAAGGCCUGCUGGCCGAGAGGCCCAACCAGCCCCCCCUUUUCCUCGCCUCCUCCUCCCCCGGCCCGCUAAUGCGGCCCAGUUGCCCUCCCCUCAGCCCAGCAACCAGGCCGGCCGCGCGCGCACCCUCACCUCCCCUUCUUCUCUGGCAGCCGGGCCCCGUCCCUUUCUCUCUCUGCAGCUCUGGCCCCACCUGUCAGCGCCCUGGCCUUCUUCUCCGAUUCGUAACUGAGGCGGACACCUCCACCGGGCCGAAUCGAUCCCGAAAAUCAUGGGAUAUCUUUCUUUUCUGAGCUCUAUAAAGGUCCCUAGGUCGCCCUCCUCCCGUUCGUUCACCGAGCCACAAAACCCCCGAAGAAACCUAGCCCUAGACGCCCGACUUGGAGCUCGGGAUUCCGCCGAAGUGCGCCGCCGCAAAUCCGCGCCCUCCUUCUCUCUCGGCCCGAGCAACGGCCCUAGCCGAGACCGCGGUGAGCUUCCCAUCCUCCCGGCGUUUUCCUUUCGCAAUUUGGUGCUCGGAAUCGGGAAUUCCGUCGUCGCCGGCGAGCUCCUUUCGACCGGUAAUGGAGCCGCCGCGCCGGAGCAGACAGCCCGGUGGCCGGCCCGCCGCCAGUGGCCUCCUGGAUGCGCCCGAGCCAUUGGAUCAAGAUCUAAGGGCCCAAAACAGAUCAUACCCCUUCGCUGCGCGUUUUCUUUAAGAGUCCCUGGAUGUUUUUACUAAUUACUCCGCAGUCCUUGGCGCCUUAUGAAAGUUUCCGUUUUCCAAGUUAGAAAGCGUAUUCCUGUCGGUUGAGCUCCAAAUGUGCUUUCUAGAAAUUACAGAAUUGCCACUGAUUUGGUUUUGCUCAUAAAAUAUUCAUUUUAAUUCUGUUUUUGUCCAUUCAAAUUUCGUUGGAUUCGUAU